rnacentral:sRNA from 1 species
UAGUCUACUUGCAAUUGCACUCAUGGACU